CUCAGAUUGAACGCUAGCGGGAUGCCUUACACAUGCAAGUCGAACGGCAGCACGGACUUCGGUCUGGUGGCGAGUGGCGAACGGGUGAGUAAUGUAUCGGAACGUGCCCAGUAGCGGGGGAUAACUACGCGAAAGCGUAGCUAAUACCGCAUACGCCCUACGGGGGAAAGCAGGGGAUCGCAAGACCUUGCACUAUUGGAGCGGCCGAUAUCGGAUUAGCUAGUUGGUGGGGUAACGGCUCACCAAGGCGACGAUCCGUAGCUGGUUUGAGAGGACGACCAGCCACACUGGGACUGAGACACGGCCCAGACUCCUACGGGAGGCAGCAGUGGGGAAUUUUGGACAAUGGGGGAAACCCUGAUCCAGCCAUCCCGCGUGUGCGAUGAAGGCCUUCGGGUUGUAAAGCACUUUUGGCAGGAAAGAAACGUCGUGGGUUAAUACCCCGCGAAACUGACGGUACCUGCAGAAUAAGCACCGGCUAACUACGUGCCAGCAGCCGCGGUAAUACGUAGGGUGCAAGCGUUAAUCGGAAUUACUGGGCGUAAAGCGUGCGCAGGCGGUUCGGAAAGAAAGAUGUGAAAUCCCAGAGCUUAACUUUGGAACUGCAUUUUUAACUACCGGGCUAGAGUGUGUCAGAGGGAGGUGGAAUUCCGCGUGUAGCAGUGAAAUGCGUAGAUAUGCGGAGGAACACCGAUGGCGAAGGCAGCCUCCUGGGAUAACACUGACGC
rnacentral:rRNA from 1 species